rnacentral:rRNA from 1 species
UACGUAGGGGCCUAGCGUUGUCCGGAAUCAUUGGGCGUAAAGAGCGCGUAGGCGGCCCGGUAAGUCCGCUGUAAAAGUCAAAGGCUCAACCUUUGAAAGUCAGUGGAUACUGCCGGGCUAGAGUCCGGAAGAGGCGAGUGGAACUCCUGGUGUAGCGGUGGAAUGCGCAGAUAUCAGGAAGAACACCAACGGCGAAGGCAGCUCGCUAGGACGGAACUGACGCUGAGGCGCGAAAGCGUGGGGAGCGAACAGG